UGCUCCCUUAUCAUUAAGUUUGAACAAUGGAAAUAAAAACAACAAAAAUCUCUGGAAGACUUUUUUCAUGUCAGUGUGGUCUGACUCCCUUUACCAAGCAGCCAAACAGGCUGGAUGUGGGUUUCUAUGUGAUUAGGAGCUAAGCAUUUCUUCUAACCCUGGUUUCAACAGAAUUAAAGAGAAAGGUUAAAAACCACCUGCCCAAAACCUCUGUUAGACUAGGAGGAGGCAACCUCCGGACAAUGUCUUUCUCAUAGCAAUAGCUACAUGAAGGCUAGUUUUAAACAUGGAUGUCAGUUAUAUCUCAAAAAGAAUCACUUAAUGGAAAAUAUUGCUACUAUGGAUGGAAACUAGUUCUGCACCUUUGUGCUAAGUGACUGUCCUGGUAGUAAUCGCUGCAAAAUAGCCAGGACUUAGAGACAGAAGCACUGAGGUCCACCUCCUAGGAGAAUGAGCAAAAGAAAAGAACAGUAUCUUUCCACUCCCUUUGCAGGCAUCUUACACUUAGAAAAGAACAAUCCCACAGGCUGAAAAGUUAUUUCAGCUUUUUAAACUUCAAUCCAUGCUGACACCAUCCUUAAAUUCUGACUUAACAAAUCUGGAUUUUAAGUCAGUUUUGUUUUUAUAUUAACCUGAUUUGAUUUUG
rnacentral:lncRNA from 1 species